AAAAAAGGACAAGUUUGUCUACACACUCGGCGGGUACGUCGGCGACGUCGGCCUGCCUCCGGUGCCCCGCGAACCCACCAGGACGGACCAGGACGGGGAGGGGAAGGAGGCGACGAAGACGAAGACGCAGCGAAGAAGAGGCGAAGACGAAGAAGGAGGAGGAGAAGCAGAAGAACAACAGCAAGCACAAGAAGAGCGAGCGAGCAGCAGGAGGAUGGUCCUAAGCGAGAAUUGGUGGUGAUACAGAGGCUAUAAGUAUCGGUGCGGACUCGCGGAGGGCGACUGUUUGAGCCCUGUCGGCCUGGCCGACACAACGUUCCCCCGCGAAGCCAAGCCCGAGUCCCCCGUGAGAUGCCCAGUGCCCAGUGACAGACUGUGUGUGUGCCCGCCCUGCCCGUGGCCCUGCCCUUGGCCCUGCCCGUCCAGUGCCAAAGUGAAUCAGUGUUGGCCAGGACUUUGUCGGGUCCUUCCUCUCGCAGCUCAUCGGACCGCCAAAGCAAGGGCUGAUCAGGGGCCAUGGGGGGCUCCACGAGGGGCUCCAUGGGGGGCUGGUGCCUGGUCGUCGCGGUGCUCGCCGCGCAGGCCUGGCAGGCGGCCGCCCACUACGACAGCAGCGACUACGAGGACUACCAGGACGGCAGCUACCUGGCGCGGCCGCGGCGCCGGGCCUUCCAGUGCCAGGCCGAGGGAUACUUCCCCGACCCCAGCGACUGCCGGACGUUCUACCGCUGCGUGGACUUCGGCUCCAGCUCGGGGCUGACGGCCUUCCCCUUCGAGUGCGGCCCCGGCACCGUGUUCGACACCGCCAACAACGUGUGCAACCACCCGUCGGCCAGCGGCCGGCCCGAGUGCGGCGGCACCGAGUCCGAGACCAACAACGAGGUGCCGUCGGGGUCCUACGAGCCGCAGCAGCCGCAGCAGCCGCAGCAGCCGCAGCAGCCGCAGCAGCCCACCCCCAGCGAGAUCGGCGACGGCAAGUGCGACGGAGACGGCUUCUUCGGCGUGCAGGGCGACUGCAGCAAGUUCUACCGGUGCGCGGGCGGCAUCAAGUACGACUUCUCCUGCGGGGAGGGCACCGUCUGGGACCCCGAGAUCACGGCCUGCAACCACCCCUGGGCCGUCAAGCGCGGCGACUGCGCGGCCGGAGGACAACCCGGUGGACAGCCCGGCGGACAACCCGGUGGACAGCCCAGCGGCCCUGACGCCGGGUACAAUCCACCCUCAGGACGACCCCCACGACCCACCGGCCCCAUCUACGGCGGACAGGGCCCCACGGGACCCAUUGACAACUCGCAAGGACCAACCGGACCCAUUUACGGAGGCCAAGGGCCAACAGGACCUAUCUAUGGCGGCCAAGGCCCCACAGGGCCUAUUUAUGGUGGGCAGGGCCCUACUGGCCCCAUCUACGGAGGACAGGGACCGACUGGGCCGAUUGGAGGCGGUCAAGGACCAAACGGACCUAACGGACCUAACGGACCUAACGGACCUAAUGGACCCAACGGACCAAACGGGCCAAACGGGCCAAACGGACCAAACGGACCAAACGGACCUAAUGGGCCAACCGGACCCAUUUCUGGGGGACAGGGACCUACUGGACCAGUCUCGGGUGGGCAGGGGCCAACUGGUCCAGUCUCGGGAGGACAAGGUCCGAUUGGACCAGUUGAUAACUCGCAAGGUCCUACUGGGCCGAUUGACAACUCACAGGGACCCACGGGACCCAUUGACAACUCGCAGGGACCCACAGGACCGAUUGACAACUCGCAAGGACCCACAGGGCCGAUUGCAGGAGGGCAAGGACCGAAUGGACCCAACGGUCCGAAUGGACCUAACGGGCCAAACGGACCUAACGGACCGAAUGGCCCUAACGGGCCAAACGGACCUAACGGACCGAAUGGCCCUAACGGGCCAAACGGACCUAACGGACCAAACGGACCUAACGCACCGAAUGGGUCAAACGGACCUAACGGGCCAACAUCUGGUGGUCAAGGGCCGACGGGACCAAUUUCAGGAGGGCAAGGACCAACAGGGCCAAUUUCUGGAGGGCAAGGACCAACAGGCCCUAUCUCUGGCGGACAGGGACCAACUGGUCCAAUUUCUGGUGGGCAAGGGCCGACCGGGCCAAUCUCUGGGGGACAGGGACCGACAGGCCCCAUUUCUGGUGGGCAAGGACCGACAGGGCCAAUUUCUGGAGGACAGGGACCUACAGGUCCAAUUUCUGGUGGGCAGGGACCAACUGGGCCAAUUUCUGGAGGACAGGGACCGACAGGGCCAAUUUCUGGGGGACAGGGGCCUAACGGACCAAACGGCCCUAACGGACCAAACGGACCUAACGGACCAAAUGGACCUAACGGACCAAACGGACCCAACGGGCCUAACGGGCCUAACGGACCAACCAGCCCCGGCGGAAGCGGUAGCCCAAGUGAACCUGGUGCUUCCCCGGGCAGCCAGCCCGGAGGCCCCGGCUCUAACCCCGGCGGCAACGGCGGCAACGGUGGACAACCAGGGCAGGGUGGUCAGGGAGGUUAUCCUGGUGGUCAACCCGGACAGGGAGGACAGCCUGGAGGCCAGCCCGGACAAGGAGGACAACCAGGACAAGGUUAUCCAGGUGGACUGCCUGGACAGGGUGGUCAACCCGGACAAGGAGGACAGCCUGGACAGGGUGGACAACCCGGACAAGGAGGACAGCCCGGACAAGGAGGGUACCCCGGUGGUCAGCCAGGUCAGGGAGGUCAGCCCGGACAAGGAGGACAGCCUGGUGGACAGCCCGGACAAGGAGGACAACCUGGUGGACAGCCCGGACAAGGCGGACAGCCAGGACAGGGAGGGUACCCUGGUGGACAGCCAGGUCAGGGAGGUCAGCCCGGACAAGGAGGACAGCCUGGUGGACAGCCCGGACAAGGAGGACAACCUGGUGGACAGCCCGGACAAGGUGGACAGCCAGGACAGGGAGGGUACCCUGGUGGACAGCCAGGUCAGGGAGGUCAGCCCGGCCAAGGAGGACAGCCUGGUGGCCAACCCGGACAAGGCGGUCAGCCGGGACAAGGUGGAUCUGGAAAUCAGCCCGGACAAGGUGGACAGGAUGGCUGCAGUGGUGAGGGCUUCCAGCCCGCCCCCGGUGACUGCACCAAGUUCCUGCGGUGCGUGGACAACGGCCAGGGCGGCCUCACCAAGUACGAGUUCUCGUGCGGGCCCGGCACAGUGUGGGACCAGGCGCUGCUCACGUGCAACUACCCGUCCGCCGUGCAGGGCGAGUGCCACAACGCGCAGCCCGCGCAGGGCGGCGACGACGGCGACGACGGAUCGUACAAGCCGGACGGCGACGACGGCUCCUACAAGCCCGACAACGGCGAUGGCGGCGACGACGGCUCGUACAAGCCCGACAACGAGGAGAACCUGGUAUACCCCGAGGACGGCGGACAGCCCGGACAGCCUGGACAGCCUGGACAGCCUGGCGGCGGAGACCAGGGUGGACAGCCACCAGCGCCGGGUGACGGCACCUGCAGCCAAGAGGGCUUCGCGCCAGACCCAAGCGACUGCAAGAAGUUCAUCCGCUGCGUCAACAACGGCAACGGCCUCACGCGGUACAACUUCGACUGCGCCGCCGGCACGGUGUGGGACCAAGACGUGCUCACCUGCAACCACCCGUGGGCUGUGAAGCCCCCGUGCGGCACCGGGUCUCCUCAGAGCCCGGCCGGACAAGGACCCGACGGACCCAACGGCCCUAACGGACCCAAUGGAGGCGGACAGGGACCAAACGGACCUAACGGCGGAGGCGAGGGACCGAGCGGGCCUUACCCACCGGCUGGACCUCCUAGCGGACCUAGCGGGCCCAAUGGACCGAAUGGACCGAACGGGCCAAGCGGUCCUAGCGGACCUCAGGGUCCCAACGGACCAAAUGGCGGUGGACAGGGACCUAAUGGACCCAACGGGCCUAACGGGCCAAGUGGGCCUCAGGGGCCAAGUGGGCCUCAGGGGCCAGACGGGCCGAAAGGACCUAAUGGACCCAACGGACCAAACGGACCAGACGGCCCGAGCGGGCCUUACCCGCCCGCUGGUCCUCCCGACGGCUCCAACAAACCCGGCGGGCCUGAGAGCGGCGGCCAGAACGGAACCACCCCCUGUGAUAAGCCCAACAAACCCAAGCCCAAGCCGCAGAUCAAGUGCGAGAAGGCCGGCUUCUACCCGCACCCGUCCGACUGCAAGAAGUUCUACCGCUGCGUGGACUGGGACGGUGACAAGGGCCAGCGCUUCUCUGUCUUCUUCUUCGACUGCCCCGCCGGCACCAUCUGGGACCCCGCCCUGGACACGUGCAACCACGCCGACUCCGUGUACCCGCCCCGCGACUGCGACGGCGAGAGCCCUCCCGACUCCAGCUCGCCGCCUAGCGAGCCCUCGUCGGAGCCCACCACGCCGAGCUCGUCCGAGCCCACCACCGCGCCUUACAACGAGACGUCUACGACCCCGGCUGGCUCAUCCGAGCCCACGACCCCGGCUGGAUCUGAGCCCACCACCCAACCUGGCUCCUCGGAGCCCACCACCCCUGGGUCCACUGAGCCCACCACCGGCGGUUCGACCGACGCCGCCACGACGGCUCCACCAGAGUCGUCGACGGCCCCUGAAUCCACCACCCCGGCCGGCAGCACGACGCCCGAGUCCUCGACCACGCCGUCGAACGAGACGUCCACCGAGGGCACGACGCCAGCCGAUGGCAGCACCGAGUCCAGCAGCCCCGCCGCGACGACGCCAGACUCCACGACGCCCAGCGCCACCACGCCGGCCACCAACGAGACGUCCACCGAGCCCAGCAGCACCGAGUCGCCGAGCUCCACGGACGCCUCCAGCACCGAGGCCGGGGCCACCACCGCGCCGACCUCGCCGUCAGACUCCAGCACGCCAGCCUCCACGGACGAGCCCACCACGCCGUCGUCCACCGAGCAGCCCAGCACGGAGCCGUCGUCCACCCCCAAGCCGCCAAGCAACAACACCGAGUGCCCCGACCUGGAGGACAACCAGAUGCCGCUCGUGUGCCCCACGGGCUUCAAGCGCCACCCCAAGUUCUGCGACCAGUUCUACCAGUGCACGGGCGGCAACGGCGGCAACGACAUGAAGGUCCUGGUGCUGUCGUGCCCCAACGCCACGCUCUUCGACGAGGAGAAGAUCCAGUGUCUGCCCCAGGGCGAAACGACGCCCUGCAAGGGCUCCAUCGCCGGCGACCGGGUGCGGCGGUUCGUCGACGACGCCCCUCCUCCAGUUCAGAUUGCGACCAAAGGACAUCUGUGCCCCGAGGAGGGCCUGUUCCCCUACGACCAGGACUGCCUCCGGUUCUUCAAGUGCAAGAGGACGGCCAGAGGCCACCUCCAAGGCUACCUGUACCAGUGCCCCAAGGGCUUCGCGUACUGGGAGGUGUCCAAGCGGUGCGAGCGCAUCGGCCGCAUCCCACAGUGCCGGCGGGGCAUGGCCUACGACAACCGCUACACGGAGGCGGCGCUCGCCCCCACCGAGAUGUACAACGUCGGCGCGUAGGGGCCGCGGCGAGGACCGCGACGAGGACCGCGACGACCGGGGAACCCGAGGACCUCGGUGUUCCGGAGGGGGAAUAGGGAGGACGACGACGCGGUGCUGAGAGACGCGGGCCGUAGUGUCCAGUGUAGUGACGCGUGGGCGACCGCCGCUAGUUUGCUCAUAUUGAGCACGGUCGCGCCACUGGAGCAGCCGCCCCGUCGGCGGCGUUCCGUUUUGAUCUUACACAUUUUAAACUGAGUUAGCGUAAGACACGCAGUGAUUAGCUUAAACAUGUACUCGCACGACGUGUGCAUUACAGACCCAAGACUAGAAACUAGACUCACGAGCGACGUAACUUCGUAUCGGUAGUGCCACUUCUUCUCAAGUUUUAACUUAUUUUUUCUGUGUUUUUUUUACGACCGCUUUAAACUACAGGCUGAAGGAAACUGGCCGUAACAAGACAGCGAACUAGUAGACAUUAGAUUUUUUUACGUUCUGCAUACCAGCCAUUGACAAAUGUGAUCUGAGUUAUUUAAAGAAAAGAUAGGCUAGAUGUAUUUUACAAAUAUAAUAUGAAAAUUAGUUGAAUAGUAUCGGCCUCUCAUCUGCCACAAACACAAAGCCAGGGUAAUAUUUGCACUUUUAAGUCUGUGAUCUGCUUACAAUUUCCCUUUUAAUUAAUAACAACAAAAGUUGUUUUUCUGCACAAGCAGUUGAACCUUCUUUGCGGGGCAAUGCGUUGCGUACCGCCUUUUCUUUUUAUAUUUUUUUAAAUAAUCAUUUCUCUCUUUAUUUCCUUUUCCCCCCGAGUGCUUGUGCCGCCGCUUACUGAGAAAUGAAACACAAGAAAGACAUGGCCAAUGAGAGAGUCGCUCAGUGUGAAUGUGGCGGUUGUAUAUAAACCCUUUCGAGUGAAUGCGAAUUUUGUGUGAUGUGAGAGCGAGUGCAAGACUGUUUGUCCUUCUACAAUUAAAUAAAGUGCUAGAGAUUAAAACUGUGCAA
rnacentral:misc_RNA from 1 species